CUCGAGUAUAGAGUAUGAGAAAUAUUUUCUGCAGACUAUAAAAUUUUUAAGAGACUGGAAAGUUUUUUUGUAGCCUGAACAAAAAUCAUUAGAAAUUGUACAUUCUGGAAAAUGGUUGGUCCCCGCUGUCAACGUGAAAGCAUGAAUCCCUUUUACCUCGGUCCAUAUCCCGAAAAAGCUUGUACUUCGUGUCCAUUUGGCAUAUACUCGGGCUAUGCGCAAUGCGGCUGGAGCGAUCGCUGCAGGGGUAUGGCCGAGAGAAGAAAAUGCGUGACUGAUUUAGAUGAAGAGAGCCAGACGGGCAGCAAGUGUUCAAAAUAGUUUGAAAUUUAUAAUUGAAUUUAAGAAACCUGGCUAGAAAAAAGCAAUAAAGCAAAAAAUGUCCAGUUGAAAUAUGAUGAAAACUGAUUCCGAUGCACAAAGUUGGCAAACUCCGAAGAGAAUUGAUUGAUUUUGGAUUUCGGUUAUAGGAUUACAGAUUAAAUUGAAUUCCGAAGCGAUUCUCAAGCUAGUGUAUGGAUAUUGCAUUGUCUUAGCCGGAGGCAAAAAUGAAAAGUUAUUUCUUGGUACAAAAUAAGAACAAGAUUUUAAUUGCCGAAUGGUUAAAAAUUGCUAUUUUGUUAAGCAGCAGAAGGCAUUUUGUUGAUCGAUUCUUGAUGCAACAAUUCUGCUAAGCCAUUCUUGAUUCCGAUUUUUCUGUGUUGAAAAAUAGAUUCUAGUUGACUCUGAACUCGGCGUCAUGUCUUUAAAAUGGCAAAAAUAAAACAAAUCAGUCAAAAAAAGAAUCUUAACAAAAGUUUCAGAUAUGUAGGCGUGUUUGGUGCAUUUGUGUUUUAAGUGUUGAUAAAUUAAGUCCAGCUCAGUGCCUGUUUUUAUAUACAAAAGACACUUGUUAAGCCAUGGAAGCCCUUAAGUCGUGUACAAUGGAUCAAAUGCUGCCAGCGGUGCGCAGUGCAAUCCUAGAGGUGCAUCAGUCUUUUACACAGGCUCAACGUGAAACUGGGCCUACACUGGAUGCGGCAUGCAUGGACGAGGCUUUGAUAGAGAUAUGCAACAGGUUUCGUUGUCUGCUCAGCGCAGUUGUAGAUGUGAUGGCACAUUUGGGCGGUUAAUCAGCAGCGCUUUGACUUGACUUUCAAAACACACGAUGCGGAAUUUGUUAAUAAAAUUUCAAGUGUGAAGCAAUGCUUGGAUGAUAGCUCUCCGUGACUGGACCGGAAAUAACGAACAAGUCCUGUUUGCUAUGGAAACUGCGCACACCUGUGUUGGAGUGAUUGGAGCUCUGGCAUUGUUAAUUACUAUGACACACACGACAUCUCAGGUGCUGGUUAAUGCCGCGACACCAUUUUGCGAACUGGUCAAUCAAGGCGCUAAGGCCAUCGAACGCGUUGCACCCGGUCAGCAGAUUCCCUUCAUUAAUUGUGAGAUUAUCCAUGGUCCCUGUUCCGUCGUCAAGAAAACAGGUCAAUGCAUUUAUAAGAUCAUGGAGCUCUUUGCUAGCGCCGAUGCUCAAUCGUCUUAAUCCAAAACAUCAACCAUGGCAGACUAUAAAUGUGCAACAGUACAGUGGCCAUAAGUGGACAAGCUGCGAAAGCCCGAAAGAAAAAGGAAACUAUUGAUAAUUUUCAUCGUUUUAUACUUGCUCUGUCCGCUAGAUUCACUUACUGCCGUUGUACCUCCAAAGUUUAUGGCAAAGACUACGGAUAAAUCCAUGAAGUGAAACACAUAUACAGUCAUACAAAAUGCAAGUGGAGAGCUAUCAAAUCAAAUCCAGUUCAGUCACAAUGUUUUAUUAAUGGAAAUGUUGUACAACAAAGUCGACUUUGGAAAGUGGAACUGGUCUUGCUUUGACAGCUGCGUCGUUUGUUUUGUAGUUGAGCUCAUUCCUUCCCAAUAUUUCGGCUAGUGAACAUAUAUAGAAUGAUUUAAAAAAAUAACAAAAAAUCAAAACUGUCUGGAACUGAUAUUCACAUACAUUUUUGGCCUAAAAAAAUAAUAUCAUCUGUAGUACAAUUUUAGCCAACAAGGACUUCUAGCUGCGAAUUUCGGAAUUUAAAUAUGUAUAUCGUUUGCAAAUUUGAUCCGUUCUAUGUUGGACCCUGCCCUCCUGGAUGUCUUGUGCCCGCUGGCGGCGGUGCCAGCUGCCGUCCCUGUGGCGGCUGCUGCGGUAACGGAUGCUGCUGAGCUGGGCGAUCAGCCUAGUUAGGGUGCUCAAUUAAACCUACUGGUGUAAUAGCCCUUAAUAGCUUCUAAAAUGACGCUUAUGACCAAGUGGAAUUUGCUCUAGCUACGGCUGAAGAUAUAUGUGAUUAUAUUUACCAUCUACCUAAUGUUCAUUUCAAAAUUCUCAAUAAAUAAAAAUAUUUAAAAUUA